rnacentral:rRNA from 1 species
UACGUAGGGUGCGAGCGUUAAUCGGAAUUACUGGGCGUAAAGCGUGCGCAGGCGGUUUUGUAAGCCAGAUGUGAAAGCCCCGGGCUUAACCUGGGAAUGGCAUUUGGGACUGCAAGGCUCGAGUUUGGCAGAGGAGACCGGAAUUCCUGGUGUAGCAGUGAAAUGCGUAGAUAUCAGGAGGAACACCGAUGGCGAAGGCAGGUCUCUGGGCUGAAACUGACGCUCAUGCACGAAAGCGUGGGGAGCAAACAGG